rnacentral:rRNA from 1 species
UACGUAGGGACCAAGCGUUGUUCGGAUUUACUGGGCGUAAAGGGCGCGUAGGCGGCCUGCUAAGUCGGACGUGAAAUCCCUCGGCUCAACCGAGGAACUGCGUCCGAUACUGGUGGGCUUGAAUCCGGGAGAGGGAUGUGGAAUUCCAGGUGUAGCGGUGAAAUGCGUAGAUAUCUGGAGGAACACCGGUGGCGAAGGCGGCAUCCUGGACCAAUUCUGACACUGAGGAGCGAAAGCUAGGGGAGCAAACGGG